rnacentral:lncRNA from 1 species
UGUGCAGGCGCCAGGGGCCGGUCACAUUUCAGGCCGCCUUUCCCCACCCCCGCCAGAUCUGUCAGUUUCACACACCCCUGAUGUGCGGUUUGCCUGUUUGCAAAAGGGGGUGAAAUUCAUUCCCUCGCUGUUUCUCCUUCCCUCCCUCCCUUUCCCUCUUCGCAACCCGGAAGAGCUCCGCUCUCUACAGUGAGCAGGAGAAGGCGGAGGGGAGGGGGCUCCCAGGAAGAACGUACAUCGCCCAGGUUUUACCUCUCGCUGGAAGCCCGCCUGAGAUGCGGUGAGCAGUUCCAGCGGCCAGGACGGCAGCGGCGGCCACAGUGGCGAACUCUGCCUGUCAUUUCUGCCUUCAGAUCUCCGGGCGAGUCAGGAAAAAAAAUAAAAAACAGCUGGCCCUCGGGAGCGAGCUGCCCAGGUCAGUGAAUAUCACUCUCUUCCCUCUCUAACUCCGCACUCCCUCUGCCCGCUCCACGUGGAGAGAAUUAGGAGGAGGCCUCCUCUCCAAAGGGCAGACUCCCUCUGAAAGAAACUAAACUAGAACCCAGUUCUUAUUGUUCUUUUUGGUCACUGGAAAUCUCUGGGUUUCUGUGGUGACCUUGGGCGGGUACGGUGUGUGAGUGUGUGGAUGUCCUCGUUUGCAGGAAAGAGCUGGUAGAAGUAGGGAUGUGAAGAAAAACCCAACGGAAGAAUGAGAGCCCGUGGGAAUGCUUGGAAAGGGCCGGAGACACGUUUCCCACUGCAAGGAGGGCAGAGGAUUGGGGAAAACAACCCCUGUGCCCAGGAGCCUUCUUCUAAAGGUGGCUUCAGUGUCAAUUUCAUGUUUAUUUUCCUCUGUUUAAAGGUGUGUGUUGAGGCUCAUUGUCUCUGCAUAUAAUUAAAGAAACAGCUCUGCUCUGUAAGAUAAAGUUGGAACCCAGAUGUGUCUGCAUCUGGCAUACCCCCGGGAAGCUAGGGGUCCGGAGGCUUCUUUGCUUCCAGGAGCACCCUGAGGUGGGUGAGAAAACCGCAGCCUCCCCAGAGGGUGCCCAGGGGCAUCCGAAGCGGAAGGGGCAGAGAGGACAAGAUUUGGACUUAACUCCCGGGACAGCAGACCAACAGACCUCCAAAAAGUCACUCAGAGGCAGUUCCCCCCUGAAGACAGAUAUUGUUAAAAUGUCAAGGAAGUGGAGUGAAUCUGGG